GCAUAUCAUUAGCGGAGGAAAAGAAACUAACAAGGAUUCCCCUAGUAACGGCGAAGUGAAGCGGGAUGAAGCUCAAAUUUAAAAUCUGGCUGGUUUACUAGUCCGAGUUGUAGUUUAAAGAAGCGUUUUCGGUGGCAGUCUCGGUAUAAAUCCUUUGGAAUAGGGUAUCAUAGAGGGUGAGAAUCCCGUCUUUGACUGAGAAUAUGCUACUAUGUGAUACGUUUUCAAAGAGUCGAGUUGUUUGGGAAUGCAGCUCAAAAUGGGUGGUAAAUUUCAUCUAAAGCUAAAUAUUGGCGAGAGACCGAUAGCGAACAAGUACCGUGAGGGAAAGAUGAAAAGAACUUUGAAAAGAGAGUUAAACAGUGCGUGAAAUUGUUGAAAGGGAAACGCUUGAAACCAGUCAUGCGGUUGGGAAAUCAGUCUCUGACGGGGGGGAAUAGGGGAGGUGUGGACCGUAAGGCCGCUCUUUCUUAUAUCUUUCUCGCCAGGGAUGCACUUUUUCUUCUGCAGGUCAACAUCAGUUUGCUUUGCCGGACAAAACUCUUGGGAAGGUGACAGCUUAGGCUGUGUUAUAGCCCUUGAGCGAUACGGUGGAGCGGACUGAGGUUUUCGCAGCAUGUGCUCUCGGGCAAGGCUGAUUGGGUGCUAUGAGAUCGUUCAGGGUACAAUACAUGUAUUUUGCCUUGUGUCUUUUUUAUACUCGCUCAACUCGGUCUCUUCCAUGCUUAGGAUGUUGACAUAAUGGUUUUAAUCGCACCCGUCUUGAACACACGGCACCAAGGAGUCUAACAUAUAUGCAAUGUGUUUGGGUGUGCAAACCCCAUGCGCGUAAUGAAAGUGAACGUAGGUGCGAUCCGCAAGGUGCAGCAUCGACCGAUCUUGAUAUUUUUGGAUAGAUUUGAGUAAGAGCAUAUAUGCUGGGACCCGAAAGAUGGUGAACUAUGCCUGAAUAGGGUGAAGCCAGAGGAAACUCUGGUGGAGGCUCGUAGCGAUUCUGACGUGCAAAUCGAUCGUCAAAUUUGGGUAUAGGGGCGAAAGACU
rnacentral:rRNA from 1 species